GGUUCAGUGGUCUAGUGGUUAUGAUUUCUGUCUCACAUUUGAUGUUGGUCCCACAGAAGGUCCCCGGUUCGACCCCGGGCUGAACCA